CCGUAACUAUAACGGUCCUAAGGUAGCGAAAUUCCUUGUCGGGUAAGUUCCGACCUGCACGAAUGGCGUAAUGAUGGCCAGGCUGUCUCCACCCGAGACUCAGUGAAAUUGAACUCGCUGUGAAGAUGCAGUGUACCCGCGGCAAGACGGAAAGACCCCGUGAACCUUUACUAUAGCUUGACACUGAACAUUGAGCCUUGAUGUGUAGGAUAGGUGGGAGGCUUUGAAGUGUGGACGCCAGUCUGCAUGGAGCCGACCUUGAAAUACCACCCUUUAAUGUUUGAUGUUCUAACGUUGACCCGUGAUCCGGGUUGCGGACAGUGUCUGGUGGGUAGUUUGACUGGGGCGGUCUCCUCCUAAAGAGUAACGGAGGAGCACGAAGGUUGGCUAAUCCUGGUCGGACAUCAGGAGGUUAGUGCAAUGGCAUAAGCCAGCUUGACUGCGAGCGUGACGGCGCGAGCAGGUGCGAAAGCAGGUCAUAGUGAUCCGGUGGUUCUGAAUGGAAGGGCCAUCGCUCAACGGAUAAAAGGUACUCCGGGGAUAACAGGCUGAUACCGCCCAAGAGUUCAUAUCGACGGCGGUGUUUGGCACCUCGAUGUCGGCUCAUCACAUCCUGGGGCUGAAGUAGGUCCCAAGGGUAUGGCUGUUCGCCAUUUAAAGUGGUACGCGAGCUGGGUUUAGAACGUCGUGAGACAGUUCGGUCCCUAUCUGCCGUGGGCGCUGGAGAACUGAGGGGGGCUGCUCCUAGUACGAGAGGACCGGAGUGGACGCAUCACUGGUGUUCGGGUUGUCAUGCCAAUGGCACUGCCCGGUAGCUAAAUGCGGAAGAGAUAAGUGCUGAAAGCAUCUAAGCACGAAACUUGCCCCGAGAUGAGUUCUCCCUGACCCUUUAAGGGUCCUGAAGGAACGUUGAAGACGACGACGUUGAUAGGCCGGGUGUGUAAGCGCAGCGAUGCGUUGAGCUAACCGGUACUAAUGAACCGUGAGGCUUAACCUUACAACGCCGAAGGUGUUU
rnacentral:rRNA from 1 species